CGCCUGCCCAGUGCCGGAAGGUCAAUGGGAGAGCUGAAAGGCUCGAACUGAAGCCCCGGUGAACGGCGGCCGUAACUAUGACAAAGACCGUUGUAGUUCCGAGAAAAAAUCUGGCCAUUUGCUGGGACACCCGUGAAUCCUGCGCUACCUCAUGUCAAGGCGAUGCCGAUGUAUGAGGUGACAAAGCAGCAGGUGCGGACAAUCAGCAGGAAAGACU
rnacentral:rRNA from 1 species